UACGUAGGGUCCGAGCGUUGUCCGGAAUUACUGGGCGUAAAGAGCUCGUAGGUGGUUUGUCGCGUUGUUCGUGAAAACUCACAGCUCAACUGUGGGCGUGCGGGCGAUACGGGCAGACUUGAGUACUGCAGGGGAGACUGGAAUUCCUGGUGUAGCGGUGGAAUGCGCAGAUAUCAGGAGGAACACCGGUGGCGAAGGCGGGUCUCUGGGCAGUAACUGACGCUGGAGGCGCGACAGCGUGGGGAGCAAACAGG
rnacentral:rRNA from 1 species